rnacentral:rRNA from 1 species
AGUGAACGCUGGCGGUAGGCCUAACACAUGCAAGUCGAACGGCAGCACAGUAAGAGCUUGCUCUUACGGGUGGCGAGUGGCGGACGGGUGAGGAAUACAUCGGAAUCUACUUUUUCGUGGGGGAUAACGUAGGGAAACUUACGCUAAUACCGCAUACGACCUACGGGUGAAAGCAGGGGAUCUUCGGACCUUGCGCGAUUGAAUGAGCCGAUGUCGGAUUAGCUAGUUGGCGGGGGAAAGGCCCACCAAGGCGACGAUCCGUAGCUGGUCUGAGAGGAUGAUUAGGCACACUUGAACUGAGACACGGUCCAGACUCCUACGGGAGGCAGCAGUGGGGAAUAUUGGACAAUGGGCGCAAGCCUGAUCCAGCCAUACCGCGUGGGUGAAGAAGGCCUUCGGGUUGUAAAGCCCUUUUGUUGGGAAAGAAAAGCAGCAGGUUAAUACCCCGCUGUUCUGACGGUACCCAAAGAAUAAGCACCGGCUAACUUCGUG